UACGGAGGAUGCAAGCGUUAUCCGGAAUGAUUGGGCGUAAAGCGUCCGCAGGUGGCUAUGUAAGUCUGCUGUUAAAGAGUGAGGCUCAACCUCAUAAGAGCAGUGGAAACUACAUAGCUAGAGUGCGUUCGGGGCAGAGGGAAUUCCUGGUGUAGCGGUGAAAUGCGUAGAGAUCAGGAAGAACACCGGUGGCGAAGGCGCUCUGCUAGGCCGCAACUGACACUGGGGGACGAAAGCUAGGGGAGCGAACAGG
rnacentral:rRNA from 1 species